UACAGAGGUGGCAAGCGUUGUUCGGAAUUACUGGGCGUAAAGGGCGCGUAGGCGGUUCGUUAAGUCCUGUGUGAAAUCCCCCGGCUCAACUGGGAACUGCACAGGAAACUAGCGGGCUUGAGUUCGGGAGAGGGAAGCGGAAUUCCGGGUGUAGCGGUGAAAUGGCGUAGAUAUCCGGAGGAACACCGGUGGCGAAGGCGGC
rnacentral:rRNA from 1 species